rnacentral:lncRNA from 1 species
UAAUAUAAUAAAAAGUAUAAUAUAUAAAAAAAGAAGUUCUCUCUCUCUCUCUAGACCAUCACCCUCAUGCCGGCUCUCUCUCUCCAUUCUCACCGCUCAUUCCUCCGCCGCCACCUUCAACUGCACCACCCCCACCAACUGCCACGUGCUCAUCGACUUCGUCCCCACAAACACCACCGCUCUCAACACCGUCAAGACCCUCUUCAACAUCACCCAGCCACCUCCGCACCCUCCUCAGAGCCAACAACCUCCCCCUCUCGACCCGACCCGACUCGACUCACCCGUCCCCGCUGUCAGCAAGCUUCUCGUCCCCUUCUCUUGCACCAAGCCUCAGAUCUGGGUCACCACAGACGCCGCUGUCGCCACCUCUCUCUCUACCAAGCCUUCCCUCCGACCUACCACCGUCCCUCGAAAUUUCAAAGGGGUAAGAAAUCAAGGUAAGUUCUUCAAUUUUUCUGGUUUAAUUAGUUUUGAUGAUAGAUUUAUGUGUUUUUGUUUAAUUUGAUUUUGAUUUUAAUUUUGGUUAGGAUGUGAUUGGUAUGAUGGUGGUGGCAUAUAUGGUGGUUAUUUGGUACGAUGGUGGUGGUGGUGGUGGUAUAUCUGGGGCAAAUUGUUGGCAUGAAAUUGAAAGGGAGAUACUUUAUUGAAGUUUACUGACCCCCAGUAGAAGUUUACUGACCCCCAAUAGAAGUUUACUGGGGGGGGGGGGGGGGCGAGUAAACUUCCACUGGGUUUACUAGGGGACAAUAAAUUUGUUUAUUACUGUAAGAAUGAGUAUAUGUUGUGUAUAAUUGGCAUGAAAUUGAAAGGGAGAUACUGUAUUGAAUUUUACUGACUCCCAGUAGAAGUUUACUGGGGGCAGUAAACUUCUACUGGGUUCACUAGGAGCUAAUAAAGUUGUUUAUUAAGGUAAGAAUUGGUAUCUGUUGUGUGUUGUGCCCCUGAAAUUGAAAGGGAUCGGAGUUAUUUUUUGCCAGUUUACUGUGGGGGGGGGGGGUUAGUAAAUUUUUUCCAUAUGCAGUUUAUAAAUGCAAGUUUUUACUACUUAUAUGCAAGAUGAGAAGAAGUUCAAGACAUUUAAUUGUGACUUCUGAAACCUGCGGUGGUGGUGGUAUUUGGGGCGGUCGGAGUGAGUGGAUAAAAACUUGCAGUUGGUCGUUUUUUUUUUUUUUUUUAAAUUUUUUCUUCAGCCUUUAGCAACGGAAUUCAACUAUUCAGUCUCCUAAGUGGAUACUUUUUUUUUAUUAUAAAAUAAAAUCCGUCGCCUAAGUGCUUAGGAGACGAAAGUAUUCAGUCGCNNNNNNNNNNNNNNNNNNNNCUCUCUCUCUCUCUCUCUCUCUCUCUCUCUCUCUAGACCAUCACUCUCAUGCCGACACUCUCUCUCCAUUCUCAUCGCUCCUUCCUUCGCCGCCACCUUCAACUGCACCACCCCCACCAACGCCACCUCCAACUGCCACGCGCUCAUCGACUUCGUCCCCACAAACGCCACCACAUUCAACACAGUCAAGACCCUCUUCAACAUCACCCAGCCACCUCCGCACCCUUCUCGGAGCCAACAACCUCCCCCUCUCGACCCGACCCGACUCGACUCACUGGUCCCUGCCGCUAGCAAGCUCCUCGUCCCCUUCUCUUGCACCAAGCCUCAGAUCUAGGUCACCACAGACGCCGCUGCCGCCACCUUUCUCUCUUCCCGCCGACCCACCACCGUCCCUCGAAAUUUCAAAGGGGUAAGAUAUCAAUGUAAGUUCUUCAAUUUUUUUGGUUUAAUUAGUUUUGAUGACAGAUUUAUGUGUUUUUGUUUAAUUUGAUUAUGAUUUUAAUUUUGGUUAGGAUGUGAUUGGUAUGAUGGUGGUGGCAUAUAUGGUGGUUAUUUGGUACGAUGGUGGUGGUGGUGGUGGUAUAUUUAGGGCAGACUGUUGGCAUGAAAUUGAAAGGGAGAUACUGUAUUGAAGUUUACUGACCCCCAGUAGAAGUUUACCGGGGGCAGUAAACUUCCACUGGGUUUACUAGGAGGCAAUAAAUUUGUUUAUUACUGUAAGAAUGAGUAUCUAUUGUGUAUAAUUGGCAUGAAAUUGAAAGGGAGAUACUGUAUUGAAUUUUACUGACCUCCAGUAGAAGUUUAUUGGGGGGCAGUAAACUUCUACUGGGUUCACUAGGAGCUAAUAAAGUUGUCUAUUAAGAUAAGAAUUGAUAUCUGUUGUGUGUUGUGUCCUUGAAAUUGAAAGGGAGUUAUUUUUUGCAAGUUUACUGAUCCUCAGUAGAAGUUUACUAGGGGGGCAGUAAAUUUUAUUUUUUCCAUAUGCAGUUUAUAAAUGCAAAUUUUUACUACUUAUAUGCAGGAUGAGAAGAAGUUCAAGACAUUUAGUUGUGACUUCUGAAACCUGCGGUGGUGGUGGUAUUUGGGGCGGUCGGAGUGAGUGGAUAAAAACCUACGGUGGCGUUUUUUAUUUUUUUAUUUUUUAUUUUUCUUCAGCCUUUAGCAACGAAAUUCAACUAUUCUGUCUCCUAACUGGAUAAUUUUUUUAUUUAUUAUAAAAUAAAAUCCCUCGCCUAAGUGCUUAGGAGACGAAAUAUUCCGUCUCCUAAGUACUUAGGAGACAAAAUUUGUCACUUAGGAGAAGAAAUAAUUCCGUCUCCUAAGUGUUUUUUUCCAGUAGUGUAAUUAAAGUUAACAAAAAAUGAACUUGAACAAAAUAAAUUUUCCAGCAAAAUUCACACAUCAUAUGAUUCAGAGAAUUAUAUCUAUAAUUCCACUUUUGCAAAUACAUUAAAUGUGAAGCACUAUAAAUAGCGAACCUCUAUAUGAAGAAAAGUAUUUCUCUCGAUCACAUAGUCAUGGCAUGUUACAUUCACGUCAAUUUACUUGUAUCGUUGCUUUUCUUGUUCCUAAUUAUGUGUUCAGCUAGCUUGCCAUUUAGAAAAGUUCAUGUUACAAUUGCUAAUGAGUUGGGCGGAGACAUGGUUCUCUUAGCUCAUUGUUGGUCCUUGAACAAUGAUUUGGAUACCCAUCGCCUCGCCCUUCAUGCAUCCUUCAAUUUUUCUUUUCGAACUAGUAUUCUCUUCUCGACAUAUUUCAAGUGUCAAUUUGAUUGGGUAAAUGAUCAACGCCAAGUUAUUCAACACUGGGGAGACAUAUACGACCAAGGCCGAGAUAAGUGUAGAAACUGUUCGUAGAUUAUUCAACCCAAUGGACCAUGCAUGCACAACUUUGAUGCUCAUAGCUUGCAGUGUUAUACAUGGGUAAAUUAGAUGCCCUUAGUUUGAAGGGACAUGUGCACAAACUUUCAAUUUCAUCAUAUUACCCCCCGAGCUCUUGUCUUAACCCCCAACACAAAGUUUGAAGGGACAUGUACAUAUUAAAUUCUAGUCAAACUUAAUACUAAUUAACCUUUCAAAAAAUAAAUACUAAUUAAAGUGAAUGAAUAAUGAACAUAACCCAGAUUGAAUUUCAUGCAAAAUUCACCUAAUAAGUCCAUCAACCAUAUGGAUUCAGUAAACCUCGUUCAAAUUCCAGUUUUGCAAAUAUAUUGAAUAUGAGUGCACAUCUAUAAAUAUAGCGCACCUCUAUAUUAGAUCAAUGCAUUGUAUGAAACCAAACUGUUACAAAGUAAAAUAGUCAAACACACUCUCUACAAUCACUAAAAACAAAAUCAAAUAUAAAGAAUCUCGUUAAAAAUAUUUAAAAGAAAAUAUAUGAAUUAAUAAUAUUUCCAGCAAAAGCCUUUCAAGUUCACACAUAUGACAUAUACAACAACAAAAAAAUACUCAUAUGGAAAUAAAAUUAAAUACAUGAUAAAAAUGUAAUAUAUAUUGACAAAUCAAUUGGGAAUAAAGUAUAAUGGGAAAUGAAUAUAUAUUAAUUAAAUUCUCCACACAAAAAAACCACCCCCUAUUUUAGUAAUUCAAUAAAAUAAAUUUUCCAGCAAAAUUAGCACAUCAUAUGAUUCAGGGAAUCAUAUCUAUAAUUCCACUUUUACAAAUACAUUAAAUGUGAAGCACUAUAAAUUGCGAACCUUUAUAUGAAGAAAAAUAUUUCUCUCAAUCACAGUCAUGGCGUCUUACAUUCAUGUCAAUUUACUUGUAUCGUUGCUUUUCUUGUUCCUAACUAUGUGUACAACUAGUUUGCCAUUUAGAAAAGUUCAUGUUACAAUUGCUAAUGAGUUGGGCGGAGAUAUGGUUCUCUUAGCUCAUUGUUGGUCCUUGAACGAUGAUUUGGGUACCCAUCGCCUUGCCCUUCAUGCAUCCUUCAAUUUUUCUUUUCGAACUAGUAUUCUCUU